rnacentral:rRNA from 1 species
AUGGAAUGUCGCCUUCCUGAGCGACGAGUGGACUAUUGCUGUGCUGCCGUACUGGGGCAUUUCUGCAUUUUCGAUGGUGCACGGUACCUUAUGGCUGGCAAGGGGGUUCGCAUUCGCAAUGGAAACUGGCUCCAACCAAACUGGCCCCAACUAUUCUAUGGUGACACAAAACGGCCUCGGCGCUUUCUGCUCCUUGCUGCUCCUGCUCUUUGCCUUGUGUUGGCCCUACGCCCACGUACAGCCGACGGCUCAGGACGCGCAUGUCCGGGCAUCAAUCACCCGCACCCAGAUCCUGGAUGCGGCAAGGACAGCACACAACCAGGGGGUCACUAUUGCGCCACAGCAAACCCGGCACACCCGACGCAGGAGAACCGGCCAGCAAGCUCCAGCUCCAGCGCCGCAGCAGCCCGCCGGCCAGCAUGUUGCACCGCCGCAACAGCCUGCCGGUCAGCAUGUUCCACCGCCCGCCGUCCAGCAAGCUCCACCGCCGCCGCAGCCCGACGGCCAGCACGCUCCACCGCCGCCACAGCCUGCCGGUCAACAUGUUCCACCGCCCGCCGUCCAGCCAGCUCCAGCUCUGCAGCAGCCCGCCGUCCAGCAAGCUCCACCACUGCCGCAGCCCGCUGGCCAGGACGCUCCACCGCCGCAGCAGCCCGCCGACCAGCAGGUUCAAGCGCAGCAGCAGCCCGCCGGCCAGCAAGGUCAAGAGCUGCAACGGAGCCAGCGUCUUCAAGCUCUCGUGGAGACCUCGGGCGGCGACCACGUCCCACCGGCAACACCGUCUACCAGCACCAGCGACGUCUCUGGGAGUCGCAGGUACAUGACAAGACAGUAUGCUAG